rnacentral:lncRNA from 1 species
AGAAAAGGAAAGUUGGAAAGCUGCUAGGCGGCAAGAAGCAUAAAGAAGGGUAGUAAACCCUAGGAAGAUUCCCACGCGCCACAAUAUGGACACCAUGCGAGGGAGCGAAUUCCAAGGUUUCAUCAUAACCGUUCCCUUUUUUCAUAAAUGCGGACCAAAAGACUCUGAGGAACCCCGAACUCCAUCAAGAAUCUCCCUGUUCGCCCCAGCAUUAAGGUCUGCUCCUAUACCAGCUCCUCCUCAGGGAACAUCAAAGCUC